AGGGACUAGUGCUCGCGUGUGUGCCGACAUGUGGCGGGUUCCGCCGCUCGCUGCGGAAAGCGCGGGGGGAGGCGGAGCGAGGAGAAUGUGAGAGAGUGGGAGAAUGAUGAGAGGGCGCAGACGGGAAGAGGAAACGCGAAAUUU
ensembl:ncRNA F58G1.11 ncRNA